UACGCAUGGGGCAAGCGUUAUCCGGAAUUAUUGGGCGUAAAGAGUGCGUAGGUGGUUACCUAAGCGCAAGGUUUAAUCUUGAGGCUCAACCUCAUUCUGCCUUGCGAACUGGGCUACUUGAGUGCAGGACGGGAAAGUGGAAUUCCCAGUGUAGCGGUGAAAUGCGUAGAUAUUGGGAAGAACACCGGUGGCGAAGGCGGCUUCCUGGUCUGUAACUGACACUGAGGCGCGAAAGCGUGGGGAGCAAACAGGAUUAGAUACCCUGGUAGU
rnacentral:rRNA from 1 species